AAAUUACAAUCCACAUAUUCUACUGUUGGACUCGUGCUGACACAGGCCUUGCACUUCUAAUUUAGUAAUAAAUAUAAAUCCCACAAGAGAUCAAAAAAAAUAAAAUAAAAAAAAAAAAUGAAGUUGCUUGGAAACUGGUGGAAGAGUCCAAAUGAAACAAGUCUCCAUACAGCUGUAUCUACCGAUUCUUGCGUUGUCACCAUUCUUUAUUACUUACCACACGAAAUAUCCCAUGGUCUAAAAACAAUAAUAAAAGGAGAGUCACAAAUUAUAGAAAAUACACGUGUCAAAUUUUGGUUAUACACGUUUCCUUAGCCUUACAAUAAUUCUCGCCCCUAUAUAAAUAGGCUCAAUACCUCUGCAUGUAGUUAUGUGCUUCGCUAUCGAUAUAUUAACAUAUCAAUAAUAAUUCUCUCUUCCCAUAUAAUCUUUUGUUCUAAAUCAAUUUUAUUUUGGAUCUACCUUUUUUCAAUUUGCAUCGUCGAUUUACUUAACCAGGUUGUGUUAAAGAAGCUUUUAUAAUUCAAUCAAAGGAGGUCUCUCUGCAUCGGCUUAUAUCACUAAUUUUUGUAAGUAAAGUAAAGAUUCUGUUGCUUUAUGUUAUUUUCGUUUAUCGUUUUGCUCUGUUGUUGCUGAAUUUGAUAAUGCUUGGUGUUUUUUUGAUUGAAAUUUUAAUUUUCUCCUUUUUUUUUGCCCUUAUUUUGGUGGAAUAGUCCCUUGUUUUACAAUAAUUUUCUUGUAAUUGUGUAUAGAAUUGAUUUCUUGUUACUAACUUAGGUUUUCUUAUUUUUUCUAUGUGCUAUUUUGGUGUUUUCUUUUGAUGUUAUUAAAGCCCUUUUCUUUCGUUUUUUAAAAGCAAAAUAGUUAUGAAUGUUUAGAUUUGUCUUUGCAAAAUUAGUGGUUGGUUCGUCUUUUGAUGGAAAGUUAUCAAAUCUUUUGUGGGUGGGUGGAACAUACAUAAACUGCUUUAUUUGCUUUACAUAGUUGAUUUUUGAUACUCCUCUCCAUUUCGCUAAGAACGACCUAAUUUUAUUGAUUUGGCACGGAGAUUAA